AACGCGAAGAACCUUACCCAGAUUUGACAUGCAGUAGAAGGGGAUAGAGAUAUCUCCGCCCGCGAGGGCUGCUGUACAGGUGCUGCAUGGCUGUCGUCAGCUCGUGCCGUGAGGUGUUGGGUUAAGUCCCGCAACGAGCGCAACCCUUAUCACUAGUUGCCAACGCGUGAAGGCGGGAACUCUAGUGAGACUGCCCGGGUUAACCGGGAGGAAGGUGAGGAUGAUGUCAAGUCCGCAUGGCCUUUAUAUCUGGGGCUACACACGUGCUACAAUGGCCGAUACAGAGGGAAGCCAAGCCGCGAGGCGGAGCAAAUCCACAAAGUCGGCCUCAGUUCAGAUUGCAGUCUGCAACUCGACUGCAUGAAGUUGGAAUUGCUAGUAAUGGCGUGUCAGCACAGCGCCGUGAAUACGUUCCCGGGCCUUGUACACACCGGAGUGC
rnacentral:rRNA from 1 species